CCUACGGGAGGCAGCAGUGGGGAAUAUUGCACAAUGGGGGAAACCCUGAUGCAGCAACGCCGCGUGAGUGAUGACGGCCUUCGGGUUGUAAAGCUCUUUCUUCAGGGACGAUAAUGACGGUACCUGAGGAGGAAUCCACGGCUAACUACGUUCCAGCAGCCGCGGUAAUACGUAGGUGGCGAGCGUGGUCCGGAUGUAUUGGGUUGAAAGGGUGCGUAGGCGGAGCGUUAAGUCAGUGGUCAAAUUGAGGGGGUAACCCCCUUCCCGCCAUUGAGACUGGCGCUCUUGAGUGGAAGAGAAGUAUGCGGAAUGCGUGGUGUAGCGGUGGAAUGCAUAGAUAUCACGCAGAACCCCGAUUGCGAAGGCAGCAUGCCGGCUUCCGACUGACGCUGAAGCACGAAAGCGUGGGGAUUGAACAGGAUUAGAUACCCCUGUAGUC
rnacentral:rRNA from 1 species